rnacentral:rRNA from 1 species
AUUGAACGCUGGCGGCAUGCCUUACACAUGCAAGUCGAACGGCAGCGGACCUUCGGGUGCCGGCGAGUGGCGAACGGGUGAGUAAUAUAUCGGAACGUACCUUUCAGUGGGGGAUAACGUAGCGAAAGUUACGCUAAUACCGCAUAUUCUGUGAGCAGGAAAGCAGGGGAUCGCAAGACCUUGCGCUGAUUGAGCGGCCGAUAUCAGAUUAGCUAGUUGGUGAGGUAAAGGCUCACCAAGGCGACGAUCUGUAGCGGGUCUGAGAGGAUGAUCCGCCACACUGGAACUGAGACACGGUCCAGACUCCUACGGGAGGCAGCAGUGGGGAAUUUUGGACAAUGGGCGCAAGCCUGAUCCAGCCAUGCCGCGUGAGUGAAGAAGGCCUGUGU